AUUGAACGCUGGCGGCAGGCUUAACACAUGCAAGUCGAGCGGAGAGAGGUAGCUUGCUACUGAUCUUAGCGGCGGACGGGUGAGUAAUGCUUAGGAAUCUGCCUAUUAGUGGGGGACAACAUUUCGAAAGGAAUGCUAAUACCGCAUACGUCCUACGGGAGAAAGCAGGGGAUCUUCGGACAUUGCGCUAAUAGAUGAGCCUAAGUCGGAUUAGCUAGUUGGUGGGGUAAAGGCCUACCAAGGCGACGAUCUGUAGCGGGUCUGAGAGGAUGAUCCGCCACACUGGGACUGAGACAUGGCCCAGACUCCUACGGGAGGCAGCAGUGGGGAAUAUUGGACAAUGGGCGGAAGCCUGAUCCAGCCAUGCCGCGUGUGUGAAGAAGGCCUUAUGGUUGUAAAGCACUUUAAGCGAGGAGGAGGCUACUUUAGUUAAUACCUAGAGAUAGUGGACGUUACUCGCAGAAUAAGCACCGGCUAACUCUGUGCCAGCCGCCGCGGUAAUAC
rnacentral:rRNA from 1 species